rnacentral:rRNA from 1 species
ACUCUCUCUUCGGAGCAUCGGUGACAGGUGGUGCAUGGUUGUCGUCAGCUCGUGUCGUGAGAUGUUGGGUUAAGUCCCGCAACGAGCGCAACCCCUGUUCUUAGUAGCCAGCGGUUCGGCCGGGCACUCUAGGGAGACUGCCAGGGAUAACCUGGAGGAAGGCGGGGAUGACGUCAAAUCAUCAUGCCCCUUAUGACUUGGGCUACACACGUGCUACAAUGGCGUAAACAAAGGGAAGCGGAGCCGCGAGGCCGAGCAAAUCUCAAAAAUAACGUCUCAGUUCGGACUGUAGUCUGCAACCCGACUACACGAAGCUGGAAUCGCUAGUAAUCGCAGAUCAGAAUGCUGCGGUGAAUACGUUCCCGGGUCUUGUACACACCGAA